rnacentral:rRNA from 1 species
AGCGAACGCUGGCGGCAGGCCUAACACAUGCAAGUCGAGCGGCCGUAGCAAUACGGCAGCGGCAGACGGGAGAGUAACACGUGGGAACGCGCCCUUCGGUUCGGGAUAACUCAGGGAAACUUGGGCUAAUACCGGAUACGCCCUUACGGGGAAAGAUUUAUUGCCGAAGGAACGGCCCGCGUCCGAUUAGCUUGUUGGUGAGGUAACGGCUCACCAAGGCGACGAUCGGUAGCUGGUCUGAGAGGAUGACCAGCCUCACUGGGACUGAGACACGGCCCAGACUCCUACGGGAGGCAGCAGUGGGGAAUAUUGGACAAUGGGCGCAAGCCUGAUCCAGCCAUGCCGCGUGGGUGAUGAAGGCCCUAGGGUUGUAAAGCCCUUUCAGCGGGGAAGAUAAUGACGGUACCCGCAGAAGAAGCCCCGGCUAACUUCGUGCCAGCAGCCGCCGCGGUAG